AAAAUCACAGGAAAAUCAAGACUAGUGCAACUAUGUUAGAUACACAAAAUCUUACAGAUUGAUGCUUCAAGAAUCAAAUCAGCAGCAAGCAAUUAACGAGAAAAUUGAUUCGCUCAAAUCAAUCUAACCAAAGGUAGUUUCAUUCAAAUCAAUCUGAACUCAAGAAAUUAAAUCAAAUCUUUCAAGAUAAAUCUGUCAUUGCUAGAACUCUAUUAAAAAAGAUUUAUAUUAAAUCAAGCAUGGAAAUAAAAAAGGAAAUUAUCAGCACAAACGAUUUCAAGAAGGAAAAGAAUAUUUGUUUAAAGCUGCAGAGAAGUACUGGAAAGAAAAGCCUCAAUUUAAGGAACAAAAUAAGGAAAGGAAUAUAUUGUUCAGCAUAGAAAGGAAGAUCUAAAAGAAGCAGAACACUGGCACACUUGGCAGAGAUCACAACCAAGUCAUUAAGAAAGGGAAGAACCAUAAAUCAAGCCCCAAGUGAAGAAGUCUGCCGAUCAUACAAGGAAAAGAUCAAACCAGCAAAGGAAAGUAGAGGAAGCUAUCUAUUAUAUUGACAUAAAUCAACUAAAUCACCUCAAUCAAGGACAUCCUAAACUAAUCCUUGAUUGAAAUAAAUCCCUUGAGUUUUUCCUUACAAAGAACACAAGUCAUCAUCUAUAUAAACCGACCCAGAUUUGUAAUGUGAAGAACACAUUUUACUUGAACUUAUAUUGUAAUCUUUCUUUAUCUUUCAUAAAACUCUGUACACCUUUGAGUGAACAAUUGUAAAGAAAAGAGAAAGAACGAUUGAGUGUAGGUUAUACAAGUAGAGGUUGUUUCAAAGAAGAAGGUAUUCGCACAUCAGACGGGAUCUUAAUCGUAACAUUCUGUAAAACCCAAGUUCUCAACAAGUUCUCAAGAAAAUCCUAGUAACCCAAGGGGACUGGACUAGGCACCACAUCGAUGAUCCGAACCGGUAUAAAAGCACUCUCUAUUAUUCACUUACUGCAAGUCAUCAUUACUGUUUGUCUGUUUUACUAACGUGCAGGUGAGUCGACUGACCAGAGUAGGAAGUUGACCCCCUCUUGACUUUCAAUUGGUAUAAGAGCAGGUCUCACAGAUUCAAUGUUUAACCACACGUGAACAAAGAUCAAAUGACACAGUAUCUAAUUCCUGGCGCGUUUCUUCAAGACGGACAUUCUUCACACUGACCACCAUAUUUUAAUGGACAACAUUAAUCUCACUGGAAAGACAAAUUUAGAAUCUUUUUCUCUUCAAAUGAUCAUCAAGAAUGGAUAGUAAUCAAGAAGGGCCCGAAGCCUAUUCCAGGAUUGACUAAAGAAGAUGGCACUAAAAAAACUUUUGAUCCUGAAUCGUUCGAUAUUACUAAGGAACAACAAGAGAACUGCAAAGGAGAUGUGGGACAAACUAGAGGUAACCUAUGAAGGAACCACUAAAGUAAAGGAAGCUUUCUCACUCGUAAAUGAAUACGAGUUGUUCAAAUUGUCCGAUGAUAAAAUUGUUGAAUCCAUGUUUUCAAGAUUCAGUAAAAUUAUUUGUGAA